UUGGUCGCGAUGAUUAUAAAAAUUCCUCGUUCUGAAUGCUAUCGCCAUGGCAUGACAGACUCUUCUACACCCAUAGAAUAUGAGCACC
rfam:Populus trichocarpa isolate Nisqually-1 chromosome 2, whole genome shotgun sequence.